UGUUUCUGGAAGCCUGACACAGUGGGACAAGCAGUCCGAAUAGUUAACUUGGGGGAGGACAUUGUAUCUAGUUAGCCAUCUCCCCCUCCUCCCCUCCUGCAGGCAGUGUGCGAUCAUUUCAUUAUCGCUCUUGUGACCUGCUGCAGCUCCCGCCUCCCAGCAACAUUAACUUCAAGAAGAGAUCAGCAGUCGGAAGAACAAGUGCGGGAGGGAGAGGCCUCCGGAUUUCUGUGCAGCUCUGGUGAGCCAACGAGGGCCGAAGGAAGGGUGGAUAACGAGCAAUGUCAGGGUGUGGAGGAGGAGGAUGACAGACGCAGCUAAUGCAGGCAUCCACCAAUCAGGAGGCUGUCCUCGUGGGCUCUCUCCUUACCAGGAAGAGAAGAUGGGGAGAACCCAAGCUCGAAUCUUUUUCUGAACCUUAGGGCAGAACUCCACAGGGUGAUGUUAUCCAAUGCAUCACACUGAGAGAAAACGCAGGCGACCAGUUGGAGGUGCCGAAUAUAAUAGCCUUCUGACACAAAGAGAAAGACAACUGCUGAUAUUCUGUGGAACAACUGUUGACCUGAUGGACAAAGUAAUAAAUGAAGACCAAAGAUCACCGCUUCUAAAGAACUUGCUUUAUUUUUCCAGACAUUGGUUAGUGCCAGCAAGUUGAAAGAUUCUGAUGCCAACAAACAUUCAUAACACAUGAUCCAUAGCGCUAUACUCUUUUUAUAACUUGUAUAUCUGUUUUUAUUUUAAUAUCUUGAACCUUACAUAUUUUUAUAUUUAAUUGUUUUAUAAUAUAAAAUAGUUAGAAUGCAUUGACUUGUAUAAAGUUGAUUGUUGUUUUGAAACAAUGGAAUAUAUACUUUUUAAAAAUGGUUGAUUAUACUUCAUUAAAAAACUAACUUUGUGUGCUAUAUCCUAAAUUAAUAAAAGGUGCAAAGUUGGUACUGCUCUAGUAACCCCUAGCAACCAAUCACCAGGUUCCUAUUCCAAAUUAAAGGGUCAGUAACACUAAAAAAAAUGUAAGUUAAAAAAAAAUAUUAUAGCCCUCUCUAGUGCCUCAUCCUUCCAGCACAAUGUUAACUAUUUUGAAUGCUUUAUUAAAAAAAUACCAUAAUGUAUA